rnacentral:lncRNA from 1 species
UUAAAUGCAACAACGUCAUAUCUCAAAAAAUCGAAUUUUUGAGUUAUGUGGUUUAACAGAAAGUAAAUUGUAUAAAGUUUACUUUGUUAGAUCGAUAUAUCUGUAACUUAACAAUUAACUGAGAGAUGGCGCCAAACGAUUGUAGUAUUUCUGCGACGAGGUCUAAAUUUUUACCGCAAGAGUGUUUUAUUUCAGUUGUGGUUUGUCAGUUGAAGUGGCACGUGCUUACGCUUUUGUUUAAAAACGUGUUAUUGUGUUUUAUGAGGAUAUUUCACUAAAGGCUUUCAACGUAAUAAUGUCCUAAAUUUCGCUUAAAAAAGAUUCAGUAGCUUUUAAAGCAGCAGCAAUCUACAAAUGAGGAUGCAUCGACCGAACAGUAUAUGUCUGACUACACAGUUUCUGUUUUUGAAUGUGAAAAUGGUACCCCAAAGAAUAUGCUCGACAAUGAUGAACAACAAAACAAACAA